GAUCACAGUCUGAAUACAACUUGCUGCACUCCACUUGGCAGCACCACUCGUGCUUGCUGCACCAGUAAAGCCAUCCUGUUGUGUGAAGCUAGCAUCUCUCCCAGUUAAUAACCACAUCAUACUGUUCUCUUCAAUAUCAAGAUUUCAAACCCAUCUCUUGAGUGCCAAUUUC
rnacentral:lncRNA from 13 species